AGUUUUGAAGCCAUUUUGGAUUGUGCAACAAGGCCGGCCUGCUUGGUUUUCUCGGGGAAUGAUUGUAGAAAUUCACAAAGAAUAUGUUCAGGGCGUUUCCUCUCUAAUUGGGACGUUUUGGGAGCAAUUAAAGGACUUCUGUGGAA